UACGCGCUUCAACGCCGAUUUUCUCGUGAACCUCCUCGGCAGCGGUAUAUUCGAACCCUGUAGGUACCGUCGCUCCAAUGGUGACGCUAAUGAUAGACUCGACCUCAACAGACUCUUCUUCCGGGGAGAUCAUGUCCGUGGGUCUCCUUCGUCAAUCCUGAAAGCAAUCUUUAAAACGUGUUGCAGAUAAAGCUUGCCAAAUUGACGUAGUCGUGCACGAAAAGACGUGUUUGCGUGUUGCUAUUAUUCACAGGAAUAAA